rnacentral:rRNA from 1 species
UGUUUAACAAAGAGAAGCAAAGCCGCGAGGUAGAGCAAAUCUCAAAAAAACAUCUCAGUUCAGACUGCAGGCUGCAACUCGCCUGCACGAAGUCGGAAUUGCUAGUAAUCGUAGGUCAGCAUACUACGGUGAAUACGUUCCCGGGCCUUGUACACACCGCCCGUCAAACCAUGAGAGUUGGCAACACCCGAAGUCGGUAGUCUAACCGCAAGGAGGACGCCGCCGAAGGUGGGGUUGAUGAUUAGGGUUAAGUCGUAACAAGGUAUC